rnacentral:lncRNA from 1 species
GCAAACGCAUGUGGAAGUCUGUAGAUAUCGAUUUGAAUAUAAUAAAGUAUAGAAUUGUUUAAAUAGAGAAAACAAAAACAAAUAAUAAUUUUUACAUCGUUAUACAUGAAUACAUUUAGUGUGCACUAAUUAUAAGGAUAAUGAGCUGAAUUUACAAAGAAAAUAUCUUUUUGUCCCAAAAGCAAUGACAGUAUAACAGAAAAUGU